CCACGGGGGGCAGCAGUGGGGAAUAUUGGACAAUGGGCGAAAGCCUGAUCCAGCCAUGCCGCGUGUGUGAAGAAGGCCUUCGGGUUGUAAAGCACUUUCAGUGGGGAAGAAAGCCUUGGGGCUAAUACCCUCGAGGUAGGACAUCACCCACAGAAGAAGCACCGGCUAACUCCGUGCCAGCAGCCGCGGUAAUACGGAGGGUGCGAGCGUUAAUCGGAAUUACUGGGCGUAAAGCGCGCGUAGGCGGUCUGAUAAGCCGGUUGUGAAAGCCCCGGGCUCAACCUGGGAACGGCAUCCGGAACUGUCAGGCUAGAGUGCAGGAGAGGAAGGUAGAAUUCCCGGUGUAGCGGUGAAAUGCGUAGAGAUCGGGAGGAAUACCAGUGGCGAAGGCGGCCUUCUGGACUGACACUGACGCUGAGGUGCGAAAGCGUGGGUAGCAAACAGGAUUAGAUACCCCUGUAGUC
rnacentral:rRNA from 1 species